UACGGAGGGAGCAAGCGUUACUCGGAAUUACUGGGCGUAAAGGGCCAGUAGGCGGCCAACUAAGUCCGACGUGAAAUCCCCAGGCUUAACCUGGGAACUGCGUCGGAUACUGGAUGGCUUGAAUUCGGGAGAGGGAUGCAGAAUUCCAGGUGUAGCGGUGAAAUGCGUAGAUAUUGGGAGGAACACCGGUGGCGAAGGCGGCCCCCUGGACCGGUACUGACGCUGAGGCGCGAAAGCGUGGGUAGCAAACGGG
rnacentral:rRNA from 1 species